rnacentral:rRNA from 1 species
AUGCAAGUAGGACGCUGAAGAGAGGAGCUUGCUCUUCUUGGAUGAGUUGCGAAGCGGGGUGAGUAACGCGUAGGUAACCUGCCCUGUAGCGGGGGAUAACUAUUGGAAACGAUAGCUAAUACCGCAUAACAAUGGAUGACACAUGUCAUUUAUUUGAAAGGGGCAAUUGCUCCACUACAAGAUGGACCUGCGUUGUAUUAGCUAGUAGGUGAGGUAACGGCUCACCUAGGCGACGAUACAUAGCCGACCUGAGAGGGUGAUCGGCCACACUGGGACUGAGACACGGCCCAGACUCCUACGGGAGGCAGCAGUAGGGAAUCUUCGGCAAUGGGGGCAACCCUGACCGAGCAACGCCGCGUGAGUGAAGAAGGUUUUCGGAUCGUAAAGCUCUGUUGUAAGUCAAGAACGAGUGUGAGAGUGGAAAGUUCACACUGUGACGGUAGCUUACCAGAAAGGGACGGCUAACUACGUGCCAGCAGCCGCGGUAAUACGUAGGUCCCGAGCGUUGUCCGGAUUUAUUGGGCGUAAAGCGAGCGCAGGCGGUUUGAUAAGUCUGAAGUUAAAGGCUGUGGCUCAACCAUAGUUCGCUUUGGAAACUGUCAAACUUGAGUGCAGAAGGGGAGAGUGGAAUUCCAUGUGUAGCGGUGAAAUGCGUAGAUAUAUGGAGGACACCGGUGGCGAAA